GACGAACGCUGGCGGCGUGCCUAACACAUGCAAGUCGAACGGGACCAGAUGUCAGACAGCGGACAUCAGAAGACAGAUUACAGAUGGCAGAAUACAGAUUCAGAAGAGGGCGUGGAGGAAACCAAGCCUAGAUUCUAAUAUCCUAAGUCUGAGCAUUAGUAUCUGAACUCUGGUAUCUGGCGUCUGAUGUCUGGUCUAGUGGCGGACGGGUGAGUAACGCGUGAGCAACCUGCCUUACAGAGGGGGAUAACAUUCGGAAACAAAUGCUAAUACCGCAUAACAUAUAUUUACGGCAUCGUAGAUAUAUCAAAAGGAGCAAAUCCGCUGUAAGAUGGGCUCGCGUCCGAUUAGAUAGUUGGUGAGGUAAUGGCUCACCAAAGUCUGCGAUCGGUAGCCGGACUGAGAGGUUGAACGGCCACAUUGGGACUGAGACACGGCCCAGACUCCUACGGGAGGCAGCAGUGGGGG
rnacentral:rRNA from 1 species